rnacentral:rRNA from 1 species
AGAGUUUGAUCAUGGCUCAGGACGAACGCUGGCGGCGUGCUUAACACAUGCAAGUCGAACGGAAAGGCCCUUCGGGGUACUCGAGUGGCGAACGGGUGAGUAACACGUGGGUGAUCUGCCCUGCACUCUGGGAUAAGCCUGGGAAACUGGGUCUAAUACCGGAUAGGACCGCAUGCUUCAUGGUGUGUGGUGCAAAGCUUUUGCGGUGUGGGAUGAGCCCGCGGCCUAUCAGCUUGUUGGUGGGGUAAUGGCCUACCAAGGCGACGACGGGUAGCCGGCCUGAGAGGGUGACCGGCCACACUGGGACUGAGAUACGGCCCAGACUCCUACGGGAGGCAGCAGUGGGGAAUAUUGCACAAUGGGCGCAAGCCUGAUGCAGCGACGCCGCGUGAGGGAUGACGGCCUUCGGGUUGUAAACCUCUUUCAGUAGGGACGAAGCGAGAGUGACGGUACCUACAGAAGAAGGACCGGCCAACUACGUGCCAGCAGCCGCGGUAAUACGUAGGGUCCGAGCGUUGUCCGGAAUUACUGGGCGUAAAGAGCUCGUAGGUGGUUUGUCGCGUUGUUCGUGAAAACUCACAGCUUAACUGUGGGCGUGCGGGCGAUACGGGCAGACUAGAGUACUGCAGGGGAGACUGGAAUUCCUGGUGUAGCGGUGGAAUGCGCAGAUAUCAGGAGGAACACCGGUGGCGAAGGCGGGUCUCUGGGCAGUAACUGACGCUGAGGAGCGAAAGCGUGGGUAGCGAACAGGAUUAGAUACCCCGGUAGUCCAA